CCUACGGGUUGCAGCAGUGGGGAAUAUUGGACAAUGGGCGCAAGCCUGAUCCAGCCAUGCCGCGUGAGUGAAGAAGGCCUUAGGGUUGUAAAGCUCUUUCACCGGUGAAGAUAAUGACGGUAACCGGAGAAGAAGCCCCGGCUAACUUCGUGCCAGCAGCCGCGGUAAUACGAAGGGGGCUAGCGUUGUUCGGAAUUACUGGGCGUAAAGCGCGCGUAGGCGGAUAGAUAAGUCAGAGGUGAAAUCCCGGGGCUCAACCCCGGAAUUGCCUUUGAUACUGUUUAUCUUGAGUGCAGAAGAGGUAAGUGGAAUUCCGAGUGUAGAGGUGAAAUUCGUAGAUAUUCGGAGGAACACCAGUGGCGAAGGCGGCUUACUGGUCUGCAACUGACGCUGAGGCGCGAAAGCGUGGGGAGCAAACAGGAUUAGAUACCCGUGUAGUC
rnacentral:rRNA from 1 species